UUUCGGGGCCUUGUGUUUGAACCCCACAUUGGGUGUAGAGAUUACUUAAAUGAAGAAAUAAAUCUUUAAAAAAGAGAUGAAGGAUGUCAGUCUACAGGUAUCAGCAUCUCAUGUUAAGGAAGUAGUGUCUUACCCAUUACACUUUUGUUUUUUUAUUAGCCCUUUGAGGGUCUGUUUAUUAUGUGAGUGUGUGUGUGCAUGUGUUUUAUUUAUAUAUAAUCAUGAGGACUGAGCACUAAGAAAUUGCAUAAUUUUUUUGUGUGUUUUAUAUACACUGUAGCUGUGGAUUCAAACUCUCAAACUUUGCAACCAAUAACAUUGGAAUUGAGAAGACGGAAAAUAUCAAAAGGAAGUGACGUCCCAUUAAAACGUUCUCGGCUUGACAAAAAUUCAUCCCAGGAAAAGUCAAAAACCUACUCGGAAACCACUGACAAAGACUUAUCGAGGAGACGGUCCUCCAGGCUGUCCACUAAUGGGACGCAUGAAAUCCUAGAUCCUGACUUGGUUGUAUCAGAUUUGGUUGAUACGGUUAACACUGAUCCUUUGCAAAACACAUCAUCCAUUAACAAGGAAUCUGAAGAAGGUCAGUUGAAAUCUCCUUUGGAAGCUGACCAGGUCUCAUCUGCAUUGACUUGCCACUCCUUUGGUGAUGGAUUGGGGGCUGCAGGCUUGGAGUUGAACUGCAAGUCAAUGGGAGAAAACAGCAUGAAGACAGAAUCGGCUUCUCCUCUUGCUGAGUUACAAGAGAUUUCUACUGUGGCAGGUUCCUAUUUAGUGUUAAGAUAAUUCUCUUCUCUAUAUGCUUUUGCUUCUGCUUUGUGAACUAAAAAAAAAGACAAGACGUUUCUAAUGAUGUUUUUUCACCUUUUAUUAAUAACUUUUCCUUAUUUUAAUGCUAUAUCCUUUUCAUUUCUGAUAUUGCUAAUUUGUGUUCCAUCUCUUUUGAUUAGUAUACUUAGGGAUUUAUCAAUUUUGUUGAUAGUUUCAAAGAACCAACCUUUUAUCUUAAUUUUCUCUAUUUGUCUUUUUAAAUGGUCAUUGAUUUCUAUUGCGAUCUUAUUUUCUUCCCUUACAUUUUUCUAGAAACUUAGGUCAUUGAUUUUAGAUUUUCUUUUCCAGUAUUAACAUUUAAAAUUACAAACAAAAUAAAAUUACAAAUUUCCCAUUAAGCACUACUUUAGCUACAUCCUACAGAUUUUGAUACGUUGUUGUAUUUUCAGUUUCUUUCAAUUUAAGAUAUCUUGUGAUUUAUUUGCUGAUAAUGGCUUACUUUGAAGCAUGUUGUUUCAUUUCCUAAUAUUGGACUUUUUAGAGAUACCUUAUUGGUACUGAUUUCUAAUGUAAUUCCAUUGUAGUCAGAGAACAUACUUUGUAGGAUUUCAGUCUUCUAAUAUUUGUUGGGAUUUAUUUUAUGGCCAAGCAUAUGAUCUGUCUUGGUGAAUGUUCCAUAUAUAUUUGAAAAAAACAAUGUGUGUGCUGCCAUUUUAUAUCUGUUCUAUCAGUUACCAAGAGAGGGGUGUUAAAAAUCUCUAACCGUGAUUGUGGAUUUGUCUAUUUCUCCAAAGAAUUCUGUCAGUUUUGCUUCAUGUAUUUUGAAGUUUUGUUAUUAGGUGCAUAUGUAUUUAUAAUUGUUAUGUCCUCAUGAUGAAUUGUCCUCUUUGUAAUGUGAAAUAUCAUGCUAUUUUUGGUAAUGAUCUUUGACUUAAAGUCUACUUUACCUGCUAUUAGUACAGGUACUUUUGCUUUCUGUAUGCACGGUGUAUCUAUUUCUAUCACUUUUCUUUCAACAUAACAGUGUCUUUAAAUUCAAAUUGUGUCUUUUAUAGGUGGCAUAUACCUAUUUUGAUUUUAAACUGCAGUGUGUAGUCUGUUUACAUUAAAUAUGAGUAUUGAUAUUAUUCCUUUUAGGUUUACUACCAUUUUGCUUUUUGUUUCCUGUUUAUCCUGUGUUUUGUUCUUUUCCUCCCUUCCUGUUUUUUUAGGUUAAUUGAGUUUUUUUUAAAUUUCAUUUUAAUUUUUUCUAUUAGCUUCUAGGUAUACUUCUUAGAAUUUGUUUUAGAGGUUAGUGUAGGAAUUAUGAUAUAUAUCCUAAGCUUUUUGCAGUUUACUUUUAAUAUUGAACCACUUUAUCUAAAACGUGUAGUCAUUGAAUCCUUCCCUCUUUUGUGCUCUAGUUGCCUCUUGGAAGCUGUAAAAUCCACAGAACAGUAUUAUAAUUUUUGCUCUUAAUAAUUCUGUAUUACAAAGGUGAUGAAGACACAAGAGUCUUAUUUAUGCACAUAUUUACCAUUCCCACUUCUUCAUAUCUUCCUGAAGAUUACAUUUCAGCCUGAAAACUUUCCUGUACUUCUUUCUUGUAGCGUAGGUUUCCUGGUGACAAAUUCUUUUGGUUUUUGUUUAUCUGGACAUGACUUUAUUUAACUUUCAAUCUUGAAGGAUAUUUUCUUCACUGCGUAUAGAAUUUGGGGUUUACAAUUUUGUUUUGUUUUUCUUUUUAAGUACUGUAAAGGUGUUGUUCAUGGUCCUCUGGCCUCUGUUGUUUGUUUGUUUGUUUCUUUUUUUUUUUUUUUGAGACAGAGAGAGACAGAGUAUGAGCAGGGGAGGGGCAGAGAGAGAGGGAGACACAGAAUCUGAAGCAGGCUCCAGUCUCUGAGCUGUCAGCACAGAGCUCAACGCGGGGCUCAAAUUCACAGACUGUGAGAUCAUGACCUGAGCUGAAGACAGACGCUUAGCCGACUGAGCCACCCAGGCGCCCCUGGCCUCUGUUGUUUCUGAAGAGAAGUUAGUAAUCAUUCAUAUCAUUGUUUCUGUUUGUAAUGUGUUAUUUUCUUUUUGGUUUCUUUUAAGAUUUCUCUCUCUGCUUUUUAGCAGUUUGACUAUAAUGUAUUUAGCUUUUGUGUUUUUUUUUUAAACCUACUUGAGAGUGAGUUUGAAUUUGAAAAUUAGUGGUUUUUGUCAAGUUUCAACCAUUAUUUCUGUGAAUAUUGUGUCCCAUUCUCUCUGUCUUCUUUGGUGAUUCACAUUAUGCUUAUGUUAGACCUUUUGAUAUUGUGCCACAGGUCCUUGGGAUUUGUUGAUUUUUUCUUUUCUUUUUCACUCUUUUCCUCCUCUUUUUCCCCUCUUUUUCAGAUUGAAUAAUUUCUGUUUUCAAAUUCUUUCUUCUCUUGAUUCCAAUCUGCUCUUAACCCCAUCCUGUGAACUUUUUUAUUUUUGAUGCUUUUUUAGUUCUAGAAUUCCCUUUUUUCUCACUAGACUCUCUGCUGAGAUCUUGGGAGUCUGUAUGUUCAUUAUGAGCAUAGUUUUUAUAGUUGCAUUAAAGUCCCUGAUAAUCUGCCACCUAGAUUAUCUUGAAGCUAAUCUCCAUUGAUCUUUCUCUUGACUGUAGGUCACAUUUUCCCUUUUCUUCAUGUGUCUAAUGUUUUGGAUUGCAUCCUGCACAUGGUGUCUGAUAUGUUGUAGAGCCUGGCUUAUGUUUAUUUCCUCUGAAGAAUGCUGAUCUCUUUGUUUGAAAGGGCAAUUAAUUUGGCUGAACUCACGUUCCAAAUUCUUUUUCUCUGCAGGGGACAGUAGCCAAAACUUUUGCUCAGUUCUUUUAGCUUUAAUUGGGCUGCUUGAAACUGUUCAUUCAAAGAUCAGCCAGAGAUUUAGGCAGAGUUUAUGUGUAGAAAUUGAAGCCACCCUUUUGUGACUCUCUUCUUUUUUAGGACUUUCUCCCUCAUUUGCCAGCUGUUGUAGUUGCACUGAAGUUUGCCUUUUGUUUCUUGAACCAGUAAGUCUAAAGAUGUCUUACUUGAGUUUUAGCUGCCCAGUGUUACUGACUGGAGCCUGCCUUUAGGUGAAAAGACUUAAGAGAUGGGAAAGUUACCUAGUGCCCUUCUCUUAUUCCAAAUAUACAACUCCUGUUUCUGCCUGCUUUUUGUUGCUCUUUAUUGCCUUUUCAUAUUUGUUUUUAAAUAUUUUUUCCAGUUUAAAAUGGUUGCAUGCAAAAGGGAUGUUCUAGUAUGAGCUAUUCUAUCAUUACUGAAAGAGAAAACUUUACGUUAUGGUAAUAGACAGCUUAGGAAGUUGUACACGUUUAUGUCUACACAGAGAUUUUUUUUUUUUUAAAGUAGUGAUUGCUUGUUGCAUUAAUAGCUACUUGGAUGUUACAUUUCUAUAAUGUUAUGUUUGUGGUAAAUGUUCAGAGUCCGGGAUGGUGCUGACCAUGAAUAAAUCUUGAUCUUUGCCUUUUAAAGUGAAGAACAUCUAAACCACUUUUUUGUGUGUAUGUGUAUUUAUUUUUUAUUUUCCUUUUAAAAAAGCAGUAAAAAAAUAAUAUAUACUGUUUAUAAAAAUGUCAAUAUAGAGAUAUUAGGAGUUAAAGUGAGAAGUGUCUUCUAUCUUGCUCCUUUUCUCCUUGGAUAACCCUCUUGUUAUUAGUUUGUUAUUUUUCUAGAUCCUUUUCUAUAUGUUUAUAGGUAGGGAGGCAAUUCAGAUUUUAUUAUUUAAUUUAAAUUAAAUUAACUUUAAUUUAAAUGUAAUUGGGUUAAUUCUAGGCUUAUUGUUUUCUGACUUAUUUUCAGUUUUCUUGAGAUGUAUCUUUGUAAGUACACUUGUUUCAUUCUUUUUAAUGAUAGAGUAAUGGUGUCUUGUAAGAAUGUUCCAUCAUAUAUUUAGCCAUUUCCCUUUUGACAGACAUUUAGAGUGUUUCUGAGCAGUUGAUAUUUCAAACAAUGAUGGCAAUGGUAUUCCUUGAACAUACAUAAAUAUAUAUCUGCACUGUAUAUACACAUAUAUUUUAAAUUUAUUUUGAGAGAGAGAGAGUGCACAAGUAGGAGAGGGGCAGAGGGAGAAGGAGAGAGAGAAUACCAUACAGGUUCUGCGUUGCCAGCACAGAGCCCCAUCUGAGGCUCGAACUCAGGAAUCAUGAGAACGACCUGAGCCGAAAUCAAGAGUUGGAUGCCUAACCGACUGAGCCACUGAGGUGCCCCACCUUGAACAUGUAUUUUUGACCACUUGGUGAAUAGCCCUUAAGGAUAACUUGCUGUGAGUGUAAUUGCUGGGUUUGAGAGAAUGUACAUUUUCAAUUGCAUUAACAAAUUACCCUCCAAAGACCAUUCUACUUAAUAUUUUGACCAAGAGUAUGAUAGAGUACAUUUUCCCUUACAUCUUUGCUUUCUAUGGAUAUUAUACAUCUUUUAAAUUUUCUUUAUGUUAAUAUUGGAAAUAAGACUUUGUCUUUUAAGCUCUGUGUUUUUUUUAAAUGGGAGUAAACAGUUUUUCAUGGGUUUAUUGAAUAUUUUAAUCUUUUUCUGCAAAUUGUCUUUAUUGCAUUUUAUUUGCCCAUUUCCUGUUGGGUUGUUUGUUUUUAUUAUGGAUUUGCCAGGUUUCCUUUGUAUAGUUUUGAUGUUGAUAUUUUGUCUUUUCUAUACAUUAUACUUUAAUUUCUCUUGGUCAUUUGUCUUUUAUAUAUUGUAACUUACAACACUGAAAUUAAAAAAAAAUUAAAUGUUUAUUUAUUUUGAAAGAGAGAGAGAACGUGUGUGUGAGCAGGGGAAGGGCAGAGAGACAGGGGGAGAGAGAAUCGCAACCAGGCUCUGUGCUGUCAGCGCAGAGCUGGAUGUGGGGCUCAGUUUCCUGAACCAUGAGAUCAUGACCUGAGCCAAAAUCAAGAGUCAAAUGCUUAACCUACUAAGCGACCCAGGUGCCCCUAAAAUUAAAAUUUUAAAUGUACUGUAUUUUCCUUCAGUAUUUAGAAAAAAUAGUUAUGAUCAUAAUAUGUGUAUAAUAUUAUUACAUAUGUAUUUUAUCAUAUUAAAAAAAAAUCACUGGAGCACCUGGGUGGUUCAGUCGGUUAAGCGUCCUACUCUUUUUUUUUUUUUUUUUUUUUAAUGUUUAUUUAUUUUUUGAAGGAGAUAGGAGGGGCAGUGAGAGAGGGAGACAGAAUCCGAAGCAGGCUCCAGGCUCUGAGCUGUCAGCACAGAGCCCGAUGCGGGGCUCGAACCCAUAGACUGUGAGAUCAUGACCUGAGCUGAAGGAGGAUGCUCAACCUACUGAGCCACCCGGGCGCCCCUUAUUUAUUUAUUUUUGAGAGAGAGAGAGAAAGCACAAGCUGAGGUGGGGCAGAGAGAGAGGGAGACGCAGAAUCCGAAGCAGGCUCCAGGCUCUGACCUGUCAGCACAGAGCCGGACACGGGGCUUGAACUCAUAAACUGUGAGAUCAUGAUCUGAGCUGAAGUCGGAUGUUUAACCAUCUGAGCCACCAGGUGCCCCAAAUACCCUACUC